rnacentral:rRNA from 1 species
AGAGUUUGAUCCUGGCUCAGAUUGAACGCUGGCGGCAGGCCUAACACAUGCAAGUCGAGCGGUAGCACAGAGAGCUUGCUCUCGGGUGACGAGCGGCGGACGGGUGAGUAAUGUCUGGGAAACUGCCUGAUGGAGGGGGAUAACUACUGGAAACGGUAGCUAAUACCGCAUAACGUCGCAAGACCAAAGAGGGGGACCUUCGGGCCUCUUGCCAUCAGAUGUGCCCAGAUGGGAUUAGCUAGUAGGUGGGGUAACGGCUCACCUAGGCGACGAUCCCUAGCUGGUCUGAGAGGAUGACCAGCCACACUGGAACUGAGACACGGUCCAGACUCCUACGGGAGGCAGCAGUGGGGAAUAUUGCACAAUGGGCGCAAGCCUGAUGCAGCCAUGCCGCGUGUAUGAAGAAGGCCUUCGGGUUGUAAAGUACUUUCAGCGGGGAGGAAGGCGAUAAGGUUAAUAACCUUGUCGAUUGACGUACCCGCAGAAGAAGCACCGC